rnacentral:rRNA from 1 species
GACGAACGCUGGCGGCGUGCUUAACACAUGCAAGUCGAACGGGAGUAUUGAAGAAGCUUGCUUUAGAGAUACUUUAGUGGCGGACGGGUGAGUAACGCGUGAGGAGCUGUCCUAUGCAGGGGGACAACAGCUGGAAACGGCUGCUAAUACCCCAUAAGCCGAGAGGUAAAAGGAUCAAUCCGGCAGAGGAGGUACUCGCGUCCUAUCAGCUAGUAGGUGAGGUAACGGCUCACCUAGGCGAAGACGGGUAGCCGGCCUGAGAGGGCGAACGGCCACACUGGAACUGAGAUACGGUCCAGACUCCUACGGGAGGCAGCAGUGGGGAAUAUUGGGCAAUGGGGGAAACCCUGACCCAGCGACGCCGCGUGGGUGAAGAAAUCCUUUGGGAUGUAAAGCCCUGUUGUAUGGGAAGAGCGGAAGACGGUACCAUACGAGGAAGCCCCGGCAAACUACGUG